CGUCGUGGUGCCCUUCAAUGCCUGGUCGAGAGAUGUCGCUUCACUCGAGCCAUCGCGUCUGCCGUGACACAUCCUUGUCAUCGAGCCGCUCGACCCCACCCCGCUUGGCCUCAUGCAGUGGCGAGCUUCAAUUUGGAGCUUUCUUCCCUGUGGUACCUUUAAUGUGAAAUUGGCCGAGCUCAGCACACUAACCCAGCCAUCUCCUUCAAAUUGAUCGCACCCACAACAUCACCUCGGUCACCACUACCCUGUGCUCGCUCCUAGUCACGCUCUACCAUGCCUCCUACAUGGCCAUCACUGGAGCGGUGCCACCCAGCCAGCCGCACGUGGCCAGCCCUGCACGCGCCAUCUCCGGCUGAGCCAUCGCUUUGGUCGGGUAGGUGGUAAGUCACUUAUGCUCUAGAGCAUGCUCUAUUGUCCACAUGACCCUUGGUCUCACAAGAACAGGCUCGGCAUGGUCGCCGGUUGCUUCCCACUCCUCCGCAUUCGUUCCUAGGUGAGCAUCGCCUCCUUAGCUUCCCCUAGCAGUCCUCUAGAUGGCCGGCGUAGCGGUCGGAUGCCAGCCAUGCCGCUUCAAAGCACACGAGCAAGGCCAGGGAUCUCCCUUUUAUGAAGAUGGGUCUUUCCAAGGUUCUUAGCGUAAAGUCGUUCUCCGUAGGAAUAGUGUCCCUUUCUGAUGCGUAGUUUAGCCAAAGUCCGAAGACGUUUCUGCAAAAUGUCCAGGGGGACGCGGGUUUUCCCGAGUGGGCCGCGUUUCUCGCGUGGGUCACUCCGUCGUGGGCCAUGUUGGACCGAAUGCCUUUAUCUUUUUUUGCAGAGUUUAAGAAAUGCUUAAAUAAUUUAGUUUCAGUGCCAGACUUGGAAAAUCAUAGAAAAUCGUGUAGAGGUCCAAAAUUAGUGAAACGAAUUUGUUGAGUUCCUAAAUUCAUGCUCUGUCUGUUAGUAUAGUUUUAUAGUACUUAUCUAUGUUGUUUUAGAGAUCAUAAAAUCGAAAUGCAUAUUUAGCUAAAUGAUUAACUUGUGGUAUGUUUUGAGGUUAAUCUAUACUAGCUAUGACCCUAAAACUUUUGCAGUAGCCUAGUUGUAAUAUUAGGAGCUUACUGUAUUUUUUUUAGCUUAAGACUAGACUGUUAACUAGUGUAGAUAAAUAUGCCUUAGGUAUAAGCUUGAAUAAUAAAGUAAAAUUUAUUAAUAAAUCAAGUGCUUGGUAAAGUUAGUGAAAUCUGUAUGAAAUACCUUGGUGGUCCAUAUAGUAUCUUAGCCAUUAGAGCUAGCUUAAUAAGGGUAGCUUGUUGUUGACACUUCUUAACGCAACCACCGGAUAUCGGCGACGGCGCCAGAAGUGCCCUGGUAGGGUAACUCUAUUUACUAUUGGAUAAUUCCGCAAGCGCACAGAAUGUACCGUUGUAGCACUUCACCAAGGAGUAUUCCAAGGUAUCGUAAUUUAUAUUUUCCCAAGGGAAAGCGGCUAAGUGUGUUUAACAAAAAGGGGAAUGAGAUUCCUUGAGUUAUCUAGUAUCAACUAGUGAAUAAGGGUGGUAAAUAACGAAUAGGAAGGGUAGUGGUGAAUCCAAGGUCCUAUGCUAAAGGUAAAUGGUAGAGUUAGCUAGGUGGGAGGACAACGAGUGAGUAAAGGACUCCUAUGUAUCUAACUUGACUUCUGUGACUUACUUUAAUAGAUAAUUGUCUUAACUACGCUAGAGCCUUACUAACUGUGUGCGAGGGAUAGCUGAGCUGGUAAGACGCUUAGAAGGUUUUUCACCUAACCCCUUACCGAAAGCGACUAUUGGGCUUAUGGACGCCUUACCUUUUAAGAACUAGCCUGUACGUGAGGAGAACCUAAUGCCGCCCACGAUCUGUCACCUACUAGGGAGUGCGCUCCUACUUUCCGUUCAAGCCAGCGGUAAUCAAAGGUAAUCUUAAGUAUGAGCACCACGCUCACACUUAAUCCUACAACGCUAACUAGUUGCAGCUAGCUAGAGCUCCUAUACAAGAUAGGACGAUGAUGCACACACAGGAGUGGUUACAGGUCACUAACUUCACUAAGACAACUAUAUUACUAAAGUAAAUGCACAACAAGACUAAAAGACUUGCACUAAGUAAGAACUCAGCAAAGUAAAGUAAGAAUAAUAUAUUAAUAAAAGGAAAGUCUUACAAAAGUAGAAAGGUACAAGAGCUAUACCAGACUCUCCAGAAGACGACUCCGGAGACCCCGAGCUUCGCUCGACUCGACUCUAACUCCCACUCUAGACUAACUACUACUCUACUUGUAUGCUUGGAACUUGUAAUGCACUUGGCCUUGGAAUUGCACACUUGAAAUGAAGGAUGGAGGCUGCCUUUUAUAGAGGGAGAUGGAGUAGGGGUUACUCCAUCGCCACGUCAUCGAUCCGCGUGACAUCUUCUCUCCACCCUUGGAUCAAACCGACCUCACAACCGCCAUUUGAUCAACGGCAGGGGCAAAUCAACAUGUGGGACAUGUGGGGAAGGUCGGUGGGAGGCCACCGACCCUGGAACCGCCUUUGAUGUGGGGUCGGGCGACCCCACUUCUGGGCCUCUGGGCCCACCAGCAGUGUCCACAGGGGUCCCUUAUGUCGGUGGACUAGGUGGCACACCUGGGUCCCACCAAAGAGGGGUCGGGCGACCCCCUACCUGUGGGCCCAGGGUGUCACCUGUUGUCCCCUCGAUCUCCUCUUGAUGAUUCUGAUGUUGGCUUUGUCAAAUAAUGUCUUUAAUUUGUUGUUCCUGCAUAAACAAGCUAAGAGUACAAGUGGAACUAGUUAUGGAUAAAAUAUGUUCAUGUCAUGUCGUUUCCCCUUGCAACCGAGGCAUGUUGACGGUGUUUUGUAUGUGGAUUUCUAUGGUAUAUCCACCGUCAACACUUGUGUGUCUCUAUAUGAGUGUCAUUGUUGCUUAGUUGCUAAGUCUUGCAUCAUCAUUGCAUACAUGUAGAGAACGAGGUGGUGGAGUACGCGUCUCCUGGCAGCCUAGAGUUCGAGGAGAUCAUCGAGGAGUACCUAGAGGUACUCGAGCCCCUAGCAACUAACACUUUUGACACCGCGCCUGCCUAAUGCAAGCCAUGGUGUAAAACCCCUAUUUUUGAUGUCACUAUAUAUAUAUAUAUAUAUAUAUAUGUCUUGUGCAUUUAUGUUGCAGGAACGAUAUGAAACCCACAUGCAUAAUAUACCUAUCCUAUGAGUCUUACUAGUACAGGAUCGAUAGCUGCUUGCAUAGGUUUAUUGGUAGCGUGGGUAACCUGCCGUUACUCACAAAGUAGGUGAAUACUACUUACUCAUGAUAAAAAGAGAAUGGAAAAUGGAGACCAGAUAGGGAUGUGGUUUGGGUACUGGUGGGUGUGAGAAGUUAUGUUCCGCGGCCACGGACUUAGCUUGGUUACACUAUUUUCUCUGUCCGUGUUGAUUGAGGAUCAUCCGUUGCUGUUGAUGGUGGUCAUUUCAUAGACUUAUUAUCCUAUGCACAUACUUGCUUAUGGGAGUGGGAAGACUUAUUACUCUCUUGCCAUGGGUUCUGGCUCUUUCCAAACCGACUGAUGGGAGGUAGGGACAGGUGGAAGUCUAAGCACCGUAGUAAGGCCAGGCCUUAUGUGCAGGGGCUUUGUAACACUUCUAGUGUUAGCCUUUCAUAUUAAGCAUUUGCAUUGCAUUAGCAUGAGCAUUAUCACAUUCAUUCAUAAGCAUCAUACCAUGGUCAUGUGUCAUUUCAUGUGAAACUUGUAUACAAAGGAUUGCUUGAAGGCUUAUAUAUGUGCAUACUUUAGUAUGACCAAUGCAAAUAGGUGUCCUUUGUCCUCACAAAUACUUUAACUAAGCUUAGAAUGUGUUUUGGAACAAUGUUCAUGUUGGAGGUUUCACUCAAAAAUGCCCCUAAGUCAUGGUAACCUUAGUUUGACCCAGUUUGACCUCCUAAACCUCUUUUCAAAGACCUUUUAUGAACUCAAUGUUAGAUACCUUGCAUGGAGGUGGACCCUCAAGAAAAGUUGUAGUAAAUUUUAUAACCUACAACAGUUGUUUUGGGGUUAUCCCACGAAAAUGUGUGGAAGAUGCUCAAAAGUGGCCAACAAGACAGAUUUGGGACUGUUUUCUAUACUUAGAAAAUUUUCUACCUAAGUCUGUUUACACAGUUUCGAAUUAGGGUACUUGGGAGCUUUGUUGUUUGAAAUCUAGGGUGAAUUAGACCAUGAUUCUUUAAGCAAAAUUGUAGUACUCAUGUAGCUCUACAGCAUGAAACAAUUGGUUAGCCAAAUGAUCAAACAAAUUAGGAGUAAAACGUCAGUGGAUAUCGAGUUUUAGUCACUGCCGAUGAUGACUGAAUCGCAUGAUUCAAUUUCAUUAGAAAAUGGUCGGCGGACACGUGUGCUACCCGUGGCAGCCAUAUGUCAACGGCGACCCUGCCUGUCAGCCCGGGUGAGUCCUCCUUGAUGCCACCACAUGCCCUAAGCGAUGGUAGCGUCCAUUUCCUCUCCCUGCCUUCUCUCUCUCACCCGCUCUCUUCCCCAGCAAGCUCUGCCGCGCAACGGCGACCUCACCAGGGCUCCUCGCCGUGGCUCCAGCCAAGCCACCCCGCCAAAAGCUUCGCCUGAGUGUCCUAUACCUCGGCAUCACCUCCAUUGCCAACCAAGCUCAGGUGAUGUGGCAUUGCCGAGCUCUGCACGGAUUCAUCCUCGCUGGAUAUCCGCCGAGCUCACCGGCAACGUGGCUAGAGCUCUCUGGUCCACCAUUUCUUCUCAUUCUUGUCCCAAUAGCUUCCUCUUGACUCACUGAUGCUCGGCGUGAACCUCAACUGCAUCGACAUCGACUGAGCAUGCUGGCGUAUCGCCCGUAGCACUGCCGAGCUGCCAUUGGCACCGGCGAGCACUCUAUAGCUCGGUAGAGUUAGGGAAACUUACCUCAUUAGGUCCGCCUUGAGAGGAACACAACAAUGCCCUUGGUUUCCACCGAGACAUGGCCGUCAUUGAGUUUCGCCGGUGACGAGCUCAUCUCUGCUUCUUGUGUCACUUUCGAGUGGGUCCCGCUGACCUGUGGGGUCCCCUCGUCAGUCCCUCUCUAUCUCUGUUUUGAUUUUGGCAGAUUUGUUGCUGUUUUUGUAAAAUCAAUAUCUGGAGUUUGGCCGAUCCAAAUUGGGUGAUUCAAAUUUUGUCAUGUUCUCGAGACAGUCUAGUUGUUAAUAAAAAUAUGAAACAUGCCAUGUGUUUAUAGAAAUAUUUAGUUAUAAAUUAUCGCUUUUAUUCCUUGAAUAUUAUUUUGCUAAUUAUGCCUUGUCUAGAGCAAUUUCUGUGUAGCUGAUAGAACUUCCUUAAGAACUAUGUGAAGAUGAGGUUUUCUGGAAAUCUUGUUUAUAACAAACUUGUAGUAACUUUCUCAUAUACUUUGUUUCCAAAUUACAUAACAUUUGGCUAAAUAGUUUAGGAGUAAUAGCUGUUACAAGUUGCUGCUACGAACUGCUUGCUCUCUAGAAUUUCAAGAGCAGAUCUGGGACAUUGCUUGUUUGACCUGUUUCUGUUGGGAAUCAACCUGUGAUGUCUAAAAGUAAGUCGUAAGAAAUUUGAUAAGCUUUCCAUAAAGUUCUUAUUCACUUAUUUUGACCAACAGAUGACCAAGUUAUGGCUGAAUCUUGUGACUACUAAUUCUAUCUAGUAGACCUACUGCCUCAAUGUGAUAGUAUAAGUUGAGUAGCUUGUAGGGUUAGCUUCUCUACCGGAGAGGAAGUAUGCACUUACUCCGUAAGCUAUUAAUACUUAAUCCUAAAAGCUCUUGGUCAUAUUUGCACCUUGUUACAUGCUUCAUUAGUCCCUCAUCAUGACAUGUUUGCAUUCUACAUGCAUUCUUUAUGUUCAUUACCUUGUCAUACAUAUCUAGGUGCACCGCAAGGCGUGAUGAUACUGGAGUUUGCCCCACCAGAACCAGAGGAGCAGUAGAAGCAUCCACCUCAGGAGGGAGGAGCCGAGGAAGAAGACUUGCCGGAGUGCCCUAACCACCAGCCUACCACGUUCAUCAAAGGCAAUCCCCAGAGCAUUGUAGGCCUCCUAAUAUUUUUGUUAUCAGGCUCCAGAGUCAAAUACUUAUGGUUAUAUAUUGAUGCAUUAAGUGUCAGGCUUUGAUAUGACACCCUUUCUGCAUAAUGACUACCUUGUCCACCUUAAUACCGACCUUGAGUAGGUCCAAGAUCAAAGUACUGCAUAGCCAUGCUUAGUCCGGUAGAAGCCGGGUGUUCUCCUAUCAAUUGUGAGAGAUAGGUGGAUAACUAAUCAUGGUUAACUAUAUUUGCUAUCGUGGAGAUAACCAUGUCUUAUUGAUAAAUGGAGAAC
rnacentral:lncRNA from 1 species